GUGUAUAGCCAUACCAUCCUGAAGGGAACGGAUCACUUGAUCUUGUAAGCUAAACAGGGUUGGGCCUGGUUAGUACUUGGAUGGGAGAGAAAGACAGACAGACAGAGACA
rnacentral:rRNA from 1 species